GACGAACCGUGCGAACGUUGUUCGGAAUCACUGGGCUUAAAGGGCGCGUAGGCGGUCCUGCGCGUCCGGGGUGAAAGCCUCCAGCUCAACUGGAGAAGUGCCCCGGAUACGGCGGGACUCGAGCGGGGUAGGGGCGUGCGGAACUUCCGGUGGAGCGGUGAAAUGCGUAGAUAUCGGAAGGAACGCCGGUGGCGAAAGCGGCACGCUGGACCCCUCCUGACGCUGAGGCGCGAAAGCCAGGGGAGCAAAC
rnacentral:rRNA from 1 species